GAGCAGCAGCUCCCCUCCACCCAAGAGAAAGAGGAGUAGCUGCAGCAGCAAGAACAGCAACAGGAAGAAGAGAGGAAGAGGUCCGGCAACCUGCGUUGCCCUUCGCUCCCGAAGAUAUAUAAAUUGGUUUCUUUUUUGGUUGGACUGGAAGCACGACGAGGUUUUCUGCAGGAGGACGAUGCCCACGUCAUUGAGGACGUCAAGGAUGAUGGCGUAGACGACGAAGACGGCGAUGAUGAUGAUGAAGAUGGCGACGCCGAAGGUGACCACAAAGCAGGUGCAGAUAACAGUUCUAAGCAGAGCAGGAGUGAGAAAAAGAGCCGCAAGGCAACGAUGAAGCUAGGAAUGAAGCCAGUCACAGGUGCCAGCAAGAUUACAAUAAAGAGAACCAAAACUCCUGAUGUCUUCAAGAAUCCAAACUCUGAUACAUAAGUCAUCUUUGGAGAGGCAAAAAUAGAGGAUUUGAGCUCCCAGCUGCUCAACAAUUCAGAAUUCCAGACCUCAGCAACAUGGCGGCCAAGGUGUAUCUGCUGUCUGGUGCACCAACCGGGGAGGACGAGGAGGAAAUUGAUGAGAGUGGACUGGAACCUCGAGACAUCGAUCUCGUCAUGACACAGGCUGGUGUGUCGAGAGCAAAGGCAGUCAAAGCUCUCAAGACAAACAAUGGAGCUCACUGCUUAGCAAUGCAGAUCAAUCGAGUGGGAUCGUGAUGUUAAUGGCAUUUUGUUAGGUUGUUUGGAAUCAUAGAUCCUUUGUUGUUUCCACCUUUCACCUCUUGUAUCUGUCUUCGUCAUAUCAAAGUUGAUCAGUAUCCUUUAUUGUGCCUAAUGCUACCAAAUGUUCCGCAAACGAUGGCUGUGAAUUUGCAUGGAUAUACAAGAUUGCUCAUAUUGAUGCUGCUAA